GGCCUUUUGGCUCCCAGCAAAGGGGGAGCGCCUGAAAAAGAGGCAAGGGUAUCUCUGUGCCCCAGCUAUUCCCAGAGCUUGAACAGACCCUCUGAAUGCAGGAAUCUCAGCAGGCAACACAGCAAGCUGUGGCAGAACUGGAAACAGAAGCCCUUAUUGUACGACUUCAAGGACUCUGAGACGUACCCAGGGGUGCUGCCAUGAGACAUAUGCCACCCACUUGCUCCCAGGACAACUGAGGAAGAGUCAUGACACAAUUGCUACAAGAAAGAGGCUCCAAUGCCAUUCCCAUCUUGGUUCCCAUUGUGGGGCAUAAGACAAGGACAAUACAACAUCCAACUGAUCCCUGGCGAUCAAAACAGCUUCUUGAGACUGUGAGUAUUUUGGGUGUUGGCAAAAGCAGCCUGAACUGGGAUGAGCAGUCUCACACAC
rnacentral:lncRNA from 1 species